GAAGGGGUAGCUCAGUCGGUAGAGCAGCGGCCUUUUAAGCCGUAGGUCGUGGGUUCGAGCCCCACCCCCUUCA
rnacentral:tRNA from 1 species